rnacentral:sRNA from 1 species
UUCAACUAAAACAAAUGAAUCUAUGAUUGUUAAUGAUUUAAAUUAUUGUGUUACUGGUUUAUGAUUUUAUACACUUUUCUUUACAAACUAAAAUCAUGUAAAGUAUCAUAAAAAAAGAGAGAUUGUGAAUGACUUUGUAACUAGGAAGAUUUUACAAGAUUAUAGGAGGAUUUUACAAGAUUUUGGAAAAGUAAUCAUAGAGAUUAUACAAAACUCUCUAAAAGUCAUUUAAAAUCUUUCAUUUUAUCUACUUUCUAUAUUUUUUUAAAGUCAUUAAAACUCUUUCAAAGUCACAAUCCAAUAACACCCCCUUCGAUUCAGCGUUAAAUUUUUUACAUUAAAGAGUUACGAUUUCUGAAAAGUAUGCAUCGGAUUUUCGGAGAAAUAUAUGGGAGAUAUU